CAGACUCCUCCUCCCUGUUCAGUACAGAGAUACUCAUCCAAUACAGAGAGAUUGCAUUUUGCUCUCUCAUGCACAUGAUUAUGUGCUGUUAUCUGUUUUGUGAUUGCAUAAUGCACUUUUAUUAACACGAUUAUGUGUUCCCUUUGGCACUUUAUAUGUAUUUUUGCACAUCAUUUAUGUGCUUACAUUUUUGCACUUACCUUAUGUGCCAUUUUUGCACUUUAUGUAUAUGGUUUAUGUGCUUAUAUUUUGCAGUUUUAUGCAUGUGGCUUUGGGCUCAUAUCAAGCACUUCUAUGUCAUGUGACUUAUGAUACAUUGUUAU